AUGAAGAUCCUUCAGUUCAGGAUGAAGAUCUUCCUCUCCACCCUCUACCUGAUCUCAGGCCCAGUGUGCUGCUCUGAUGUGUUCGGCUAUUCAGGAGGAAGCGUCCUUUUAUUCUCUGAUCUGCAGUGGGAUGUAAACAAGACAAGAUAUAUUUGCAGGGUGGAACAAAGUGGCUGUCUAGAUAUAAUGAAGGAUCAGACUAAGGUCAGGUCUGUCACUAACGGGAGGUUCAUGAUGUAUUCAAAUGUAGAUGGAGAGUUUACAGUGUUGAUCAGAGAGCUGAAGCCUCAGGAUUCUGCCGUGUACAGAUUUGGAGUUGGGAAUGAAAAGCAUAAGGACAUCAAGCUGACCGUUCAGAGUGAUUCUUGUUGUGGGGGAAUUACAAAAACGAAUGCUUAUCUAGGAGAGACGGCCAACUUCGACUGUAACCAUCCAGAUGAGUUCAAGAUGAAAAGCAAGUACCUCAUCAACCUCAAUGAUCAACAUACAAUUAGAAGAAUAAUUUGCACUGGACAAGCGUCUCAGAAGAAGCAGAAAGACAGAUUCUCCAUCUCUGAUGACAGAAGCUCUAACGUCUUCAGUGUGAACAUCAGUGAUGUGACAGAAGAUGAUGGAGGAGUUUAUCUGUGUGGAGUGUGGAAGAAUCAGAAGUCAGUGGGUUAUUACUCCUACUUCAGAGAGAUUCAGCUGAAAGUUUCUGCUCCAGGUUCCUCUAUCAUCACUGUGUGUGUCUGUGGGACUCUGUUGCUGAUUGGAGGAGCAGCACUGAUCUUCUACAGACGGAGAAACCACAUGAUACAGGACUCAGCUUCAACUGGCCAGAGAACAGACAAAAAUAAUGAAGAUGACGAUUAUGAAAAUGUCUCACAUGGAAAUCGAUACAACAUCAGCAUGGGUCCAGUCCACCAGAGCCCAAACCCCAACAUAGCAGAUUUAGUCUAUGAGGACCCUGAUCCAAACACCCACCAAUCGGAUUCGGACUAUGAGAACACCAACCAAUCAGAUUUCAUUUAUGCGAAUGUGACCAUCAAGAGCAGUGGAUGAGGGGAGUAUUUCAUAAAGCAGUUCUCAGUGCCAACACAUAAGAACCAGUGAUAACUGCCUAUUGGAAAUGUCCUCUUCUCUUAUUGGUCAAAGCGAAACUCUUGGUUUGAGUUGUCGGAGAAGUUUACCAAAUACACCCAAAUUUUCACAACAUCAGUUUAUUUGCACCUCCCUCAAUACUCCAGUCCUUCUAGAUUAAAUAAAAAAACAAUACUUUUGGUUUUUGUUUUCUUAGUUGUUUCCAGUGUAAACUUACUUGCCUAAGGUUGCAACAAGGAGAGAAAUUAAGGAUAUUUUAGCUGGAGAGUUAAACACAUCUCUAUAAUCGCUACAUUUGUGUUUUAUUGCUUGAUCAGUCAGUUUAUGCUUCUACAGAUUUCUCUUAAUAUGUCUGCAUGUACUCCUUCUUAGUUAUAAGCUAUCAAAAUCUGAUCUCUAUUCUGUCAUUAUGAUCUCCAGUGGUUUCACCAUACAGUCUCAGAAAAAGAAAAAAAGGUAUGAAGCUGUGACUGGGGUGGUACCCUCAAAAGGUACAUCUCAGUGCCUUCUGUCAGGGAACAUAACUGAACCAUAUUCUACUGAAAUGAUCUGUUCUAAGCUGUGCUGACUCCACACACCCCGCCCCGCCCCGCCUCACCUCCAGGUGUUUAUUCUACUGCUCUGUUUUAAAACAUUCGGUUAUGAAAAGGAACAAUUAUGAACUUCACUUGGAAAAACUACAAGGUACACAACUGGACCUUAAACCGAACUUCUGAAGGAACAUUUACACUGUUUGUACUUUGAUGAAAGAAAAAUGUACCCCCACAGGACCUUUAUUUCUAACCAUGUAUAUUGUGAGCAUUUUACAUUCAAUAAACUUAUCAAAUCAUGCAAUGCAUUAUUUUGUAAUUAAUUUUUAAAAAGUUUCCCCUGCCACCUACACACCAUCUAUACAUCUACCACUUUAACACAGG
ensembl:lncRNA